rnacentral:rRNA from 1 species
UACGGAGGGGGCUAGCGUUGCUCGGAAUUACUGGGCGUAAAGCGCACGUAGGCGGCUUUCUAAGUCGGGGGUGAAAUCCUGGAGCUCAACUCCAGAACUGCCUUCGAUACUGGAGAGCUCGAGUCCGGGAGAGGUGAGUGGAACUGCGAGUGUAGAGGUGAAAUUCGUAGAUAUUCGCAAGAACACCAGUGGCGAAGGCGGCUCACUGGCCCGGUACUGACGCUGAGGUGCGGAAGCGUGGGGAGCAAACAGG